rnacentral:lncRNA from 1 species
ACGAAUAUGACGCAUUGCAUUUAUCCUUGUACUUGGCAUAGCGCCUUGUACAUUGCUUCUAUGAGACGACAUGGACAUAGUGAGGAUUCAAUAGCCCUCGGAGGAAAGACCUGGAACAGCCCUACGGGGACCAGGCACAUGGUACUCCGGUACCCCAGAUGAGAUGCAGUCUUGAGAGCUCCUUUGUGGGCUGGACAUAGAUAGAGGGAGUUUUGAUCCGUCCUGCCGAGAUGAUGUGAUUACUUGUGAUGUGAUGCAUUCCAUGAGAGCAUGUUUUAUCACCUGUUAUUUUAUUACUGUUCUACUCA